rnacentral:lncRNA from 1 species
GCUUGGAAUGAGACUGUGUCGUGGAACGUUUUGAAGCCCAGUUGUGGAUGGCACUGUCAAAACUAGGCAAGCCUGAUUCUCUACUGCAUACGUUCUAAUUUAAUUGGCCUAAUGAGUUCAGGCUGAUGUGACCAAGUGAUCAAUCAGGUUUGAGUUAUGAGAUAUUGAGAAAUGGGAUUAGAGAAGAAAAAAGGCAUUUGGCAAAUUGACUACAGGACAGGGAGCUGAGAAGUCUUGAUGUAACAAUUGGAUACUUUUUAUUUUUUUCCCCACCCCUUGAAUGCUAAGGCAUAACAAAACCUACUUAGAUGUGCUUGCUUGCUCGUGUGUCAUAGGAAUUCAUUUCACAGUUUCCCCUCUGGUUUGAUUCAAAAAUGCUUUUUUUCUCUCAAACACAACAAGCGAGAAAUUCUGCCUUGUAUGGACCACUGAGGAACCCGUGAAUGCCUGCUAUCUAGAAAACUGAAACGCCCUACUAAAUUCUUGCUUCCCUCAGACAUUGUUAAUAUAUUCUGUGGAAAAAAUACAAAAGAAAACAUGAGUUUUAACACUGAUAUGUAACAUUAGUGCCGUGUAAACAUUAGCCAUUCUGUUGUUACUUAUUUAGUGAAAUGGAUGAUUAGUCAAGGAAAGAAUUUGAGUGAGUGAAUUCUUUCUCCCUCUUUUUGAAUAGCUGUUAGAAGGAGGAAGUCCUUGGGUCAUCUCAGGCUAGUAACUACAACUACUUGAGACAGACGUUCUUCAAGCUCCGGGAAGGUUAGAAAUUGGAUGAAUGUAUCAAGCUUGGCUGGUUUUCCAGUUCACUUGCUGUGGUUGAGUGUCUCUACUGAUACAGAUCCCUUACAACAAAUGAGCAACCCAGGAAAGGAGCUUUGAAACUUUAGGUAACUGCUCUUCCAUCCUGGCAUCUUGGGGUGUUCUCUCUUCAUUUUCCCCCUUCUCGAUCAUGCAUCUUGGGACUGUCCCUUGGAGCUCAUUUGUCUUGACUGCUGAUCUCACUCUGGGGCUCGACCAGGAAGGUGGCUGGAUUGGGAAGUAGCUGUCCUCCUCUGUCACUCUCUCCACCUCGCAGUGGGCCUGCAGAGCUGCCACUGAUGCAGUGCCCCUUGACCCUUUCUCGGCAUUGCUCUUUAUAAAGAUUGCUUUUUUUAAAGAUUGGCACCUGAGCUAACAUCUAUUGCCAAUCUUCUUUUUUUUCUUCUUCUUCUCCCUGUAGGAGAGGAAGACAUUUCCUGUUCCCAAAUGGGGGUUCGUCUGGCCAGAGAACGAAUUAAAUUCACAUGAGACAGAAUAGCAAG